UAGUAAUACUAUGACUCGAUUCCCUU
rnacentral:piRNA from 1 species